UUUCUCCGGCCAAAUCCGGCCGAUCCGGCCACCGAUUGGACCGGGUCUUGUGUCUAAAAUCAUCUACUCGGCGAGAGCUUUCCAUAGACACCAAGAACGCCGAAAUCCAUCGAGCGGUUUGUCCGAUUUUUGCUCGGGAAGAUUUUAGCCCAUUUCGACUUUUGGGCUAGAUUUCUCGAAAACCGUGAAUCCCACGAGGAAACCGAGGCCACCAGCACGCUCCAUUCGUCGAGAGCUUCGCAACGACAUAAAUUUCGAAUUUUUCCGACACCAUUUUUCGAUGGGUCCCACGGAACUUCGCAGUGUAUCCUCGAUUCGCGGAAAUUCGACAGUUGACCGGGUCUGCAAAUUUCGGGCCAGACAGACCCGUGACCGGAAAAGUCUCCGAAUUGGGCCGAGGUUUUGGCUAGCCCCCCAUUGUCAGACGUCCCGAGCGCGUCCCCGAAGUCGGAAUCGGCAAAGGUGAGCCGGGACAGCCUUCUUCCUCCGCCCAGCCGCCACAGUAAUUUGUCGUCAAGUUUGCCGCAGGAGGAUAUUUUAUUCUGGGUUAACCUGCUUUUAUACUUCGCAGGUUGUUUAUCGAUAAUUGUGUAAUUUUAUUUACUCUUAGAAUUUCCGCAUGUGUUAGCAGUAAUU